rnacentral:misc_RNA from 1 species
UCCGAGUUGACCCCGGCAGUCUCCUAUGAGUCCCCGGCAUUAUCCGCUGGCAACAUAGGACGAGGGUUGCGCUCGUUGCGGGACUUAACCCAACAUCUCACGACACGAGCUGACGACAGCCAUGCACCACCUGUAUACCGACCUUGCGUGUCCAGCCUGGGUAAGGUUCUUCGCGUUGCGUCGAAUUAAACCACAUGCUCCACCGCUUGCGCGGGCCCCCGUCAAUUCCUUUGAGUUUCAACCUUGCGGUCGUACUCCCCAGGCGGGGUACUUCCUGCGUUAGCGCCGGCACCCAGAGGGUCGCUCCCCCAGGCACCUAGUACCCAUCGUUUACGGCGUGGACUAC